GCAUUUGUUAAACUCCUACUAUGUGCUAGAAUAAAAAAAAAUUAAAAACCCAAAUGUCUUUCCUUAUCCUGGAGAUUCCCUUCCCACAAGCAUAUUAGAGAUGUGAAUUUUAGAUUUACUCCACCCUGCUUAGUCUAACAAAACAGGAAUGUCUAUACCCCUACUUAAGGAUUAAGUGUUGAGAAGGAUGGCCUAUGACAGACAUGUGCUAGCAAAUAACAAAUCAGAAACAACUGACAGACCCCCUGAACUGUCCUAAGUCAAGUUUAAGCUACCAUUGGUACAUAUGAUAUGCAGGAAGUGAUGUAAAAAUGCUCUAUAUAUUUCGUGUCACUUCCUCUCUCCUCUCUCUUUUCACGGAGAGGUGGCUCUGGCUCUGGUGGCGGAGAGGUGGUUGGUGGCAGUGUGCUGAGUGUCUUGGCAUCUUUGCAUGGCUGUAGCUAUUGACUGGGUUUGGUGGGUACAUAAUGGUGAUAAUAUUGAAGAAUCAUUUCACUAGGUAUCUGACAGAGAAUGCAGCAAAGAAAUUUUAUUCUGAGAGGGGACAUGAAGGCUUCACCAGACUGCCCAGGGGUCUAUGAAUGUAACCAAAAAGAUCAAGAACCCCAGUACCAAGGCAUCUGGAGCAAGUUAAGGUGUCAGGGUUAUUGAACCCUGAAAAUAAGUGUGAAGAAACUGAAGACUUCCUUUUUUAUUCGAAGGUUUCAUUUGGAAUUUUAAGCAUUAUAAUAGGAA
rnacentral:lncRNA from 1 species